AGUGUGUCUGAGUGAUACAUUUUAUUGGCACAGCAUCUUCAGAUGAUGCUGUUGUGCCGCGGUUUAGAUCCCAUUAAAAUACCACGCUGGUCAUGUGACCACCUACAAAACCCAGGAAGGAAUGAAUAACGAUACGGUCAGAUCAAUAUGUUACAAUAGUACAAAUGAUAAAUUAUUUUACAGUUAUAAUGCCAACCAGGGGAACACCCCACACACAAUCUGCCUGCAUCCAGAUACAAUGGUAAUGGUAAAUAAAAAGACAGUCACGGUAAGAACACGGUAAAAAUAAUAACGUGGAAAAUAGGAAAGGAAUCGGUGUCAUGAUGUUAGUCAUCUGUGAAGCCUAGUACACACGCUAACGGAGAGCAACAGACAGUGCUAGAUAUCAGCAAAAACAGAGCAAAUUGUGAAUUUUCCUUUUUUUAAAUCAAAAUUUUUGCAUAAUAAGACUCAUUCAUGUUGCUGGUCUGUAAAGUGGGGGCGGGUUCCACGCAAAAAUAACCACCCGGUUUUGGCCUGCCCCUCCCAGUGCCUGAGUAAAAAGGUUCCAUGGACCCUGCUAUAAUACCAGUCCGGACCAGGGGAGGGCGCUAGCACACUACUAUUACUACUACAACAACGCCCUUUCCACAGGCAUAACAUUGGCAGUGAUUAGAACAAACGGAAAAGAAAAACCCCAACACCGAGUCCUGGAGCAGAGGUCACUGAAGGAGCAACUACACGUUACCCGAUGGUAACCAUAGAGAUCCUAUUAUAUUUCUGAUAUGAUCAUCAGGGGUCAAAAUGGCAGCCAUUUUGUUCAGGGAGAAUUCCAAACCAGUCUAAUUAGAAUACAGGUCAGUAGUAAUGCAUGUCCUUUCCUUAUGAAGGCAAACAAAAGUUCAGCCAUGUGAUAUAUCAUUCUAGAAUAAAAGUUCAGCCAUAUCAUUCUGAAAUCAUAUUAUCAUAAAGCUCAAAUAGUAAUGUAAUUACAAAUGCAGUUUUAUAAAGGUUUUGUACUUAUUGUCUGUAUAAGCAUCCUUUAAAAUAUGUGAACAGAACAUAAAUGUCUUUCUUUUGUUGUCUUGGAAAGUCUUAUCAGCUGACUGCAGCCAGUGUACGGUAAUCAAAACCUAAUGGGGGGGGGGGGGGGCAUGGAGGUCAUGACCCCAGGAGAUCAGGGUACACACCUUGGUACUUUGUUGAUCUUUACUACAAGGUCUGGCAUAGCAUCCUCAAUCCCUGAACUAGAAAUGUAACAGAAUUUAGCUGACUGCGGCUAAUUUAGGGACAAUGCCAGACCACAUUUGAAAUCGCUCCGCGAGUAUUCCAAUGGUGUACAUCGUAACAGUAAGUUGAGAACCACGAUGUACUGAUUCUAUCACAGCACGGGUAUUCCACGGUUGACCAACUCCCUGACCAAAACGCCCGGCCUUAAAUCCCUCCUUUAGAAUUUCCAAUCUAGUGUUUCAACUGUGUGACGACAACAGGUCAUUAAAAGCACAGGCAGGAUCUCCUGACAAAUGAAACCCUUGUGAGUUUGGUAACAGAGGGAGAGCCCCUACCUGUGUAGAACUAUAGUAUAUACCCACCGGAUGGAUGAGGAGGGAUGAUACAUGGGUUAGCUGGUCAACGACCCAGACAACACCUGAAGGCGUUGCUAUGGAUUUACACGUAUUGGUAAUAAAACUCAACAGUAACAGCUUGGAGGUCACGUGUCCUGCUACCCAUGUGUGGCUCCCUGUUAAGUGAAGUGGUAUCUACUCCCACCGGCCUAGGCACACAGCCGUGUGUGUGUGUGUGUGUGUGUGCUAAUGAUCUUUCAGGUAGAUUACGGCUAAUCCAAUUUAGGUCAGAUUUGUCCCUUCCAAACUGUGCCACUCAUGUGACCUCAGAUGGACAGUGAGAGAUAGAGCAGUUGUGUGUCUAGGACCGGAUUAUUAGUUAAAGUACACUUAGAGGCUACAGACAGCCGAUAUGAACAGUGAUUACAGAGUAGUAGUAAUAUCAUAAUAAUAAUAAUAAUAAUGAUGAUUAUAACAGUGAGAUUUAGACCUAUUAACCACAGGUCUGGACUCAGAUGUUAGCUUGUCUCUCUAAUUUCGCAAGUUAGGGCUGAGGCCAGGGAAUCUGAUUCUAGAUCUGUGGUUAUACAGUUUCUUCAACAUCUUAUUUCCCUUUGACCUCUCUGGACUACAUUACCCAGAAACCCCCAUGACCACCAGAAGAGAAGAGCAGGUUGGUGGAGGCAGGCAGGCAUCCCUAGACUCCUGUUUCUACAGGUCUGUGAGAGGUCAAGGCUGGACCACAAAUGUCUGAUGAGGUCACAGUGAAGUCAGUCCAUCUGGGGUCAGUGUCGCCCUCUGAAAUGGUCCCUAACCCCAUCAGUGACCCCAUGACUGGAGCACUAUGAAGGGAAUAGGAUGUCAAUCUGGACACAGCUUUGUCCCUUUUAUAGUUUCCCCUGUCCAGAACAACUGACACGGCCCUAGUGUCUGUCGCUCCCAAACCCCCUCACACAGAGACACACCCUGGCUUCUUCUGGAUUAAAGUUCAUCUACAGGUUGACCUCAGGGGUUGACGUUUGGAUAUCCGCUGACUUUAAGGUUAAAGUUCAUACACGUUGACCUCAGGGGUUAACCCAAAGUUAGUCAUGACCUAAGAGAGAGAUGGUGAAGUUGCUGUGUGCUAGGGUCAUGAGGUCAAUUUCGUGGCCAGGUAAGAGAGUGGACUGGCGUUAAAUGCUGCAGCGUCCAGUAUCUCUCUCCAGCUAAGGAUUAACGGUGAACCAACAGUCACAGCUAAAACAGCUUGUGUCAUAUUCCCGUUUAGCAUAUAGGGAGACACAGAGAGAGAGACACAGAGACACACACACACACACACACACACACACAGAGAGAGAGACAGGCACACACACAGAGAGAGAGACAGGCGCACACGCACACAGAGAGAGAGAGACACAGAGAGAGAGACAGGCGCACACGCACACAGAGAGAGAGACAGGCGCACACGCACACAGAGAGAGAGACAGGCGCACACGCACACAGAGAGAGA
ensembl:lncRNA